GACGAACGCUGGCGGCGUGCCUAAUACAUGCAAGUCGAGCGCGGGAAGCAAGUGAUCGCCCUUCGGGGCGUGAACUUGUGGAACGAGCGGCGGACGGGUGAGUAACACGUGGGCAACCUGCCUGUAAGACUGGGAUAACUCGCGGAAACGUGAGCUAAUACCGGAUAACACCUUUUUUCUCAUGAUGAGAGGUUGAAAGGCGGCUUUUAGCUGUCACUUACAGAUGGGCCCGCGGCGCAUUAGCUAGUUGGUGAGGUAACGGCUCACCAAGGCAGCGAUGCGUAGCCGACCUGAGAGGGUGAUCGGCCACACUGGGACUGAGACACGGCCCAG
rnacentral:rRNA from 1 species